GACGAACGCUGGCGGCGUGCUUAACACAUGCAAGUCGAACGAUGAAGAAGAGAAACGCGCACUGCGGUUCAAAUUUCACUUCGGAUUAGUGGCAGACGGGUGAGUAACGCGUGAGCAACCUACCUCUUACACCGGGAUAGCCUCGGGAAACCGUGAUUAAUACCAUAUGACACAUUCAUAAGGCAUCUUAAGAAUGUUAAAGCUACGGCGGUAAGAGAUGGGCUCGCGUCACAUUAGCUAGUUGGUGAGGUAACGGCCCACCAAGGCGACGAUGGGUAACCGGCCUGAGAGGGUGAACGGCCACAUUGGGACUGAGACACGGCCCAAACUCCUACGGGAGGCAGCAGUGGGGAAUAUUGCACAAUGGAGGGAACUCUGAUGCAGCGACGCCGCGUGAGCGAUGAAGGAAUUCGUUUCGUAAAGCUCUGUUAUAUGGGAAGAAAAGGACGGUACCAUAGGAGAAAGCCCCGGCUAAAUACGUG
rnacentral:rRNA from 1 species